CUGUAAUGAUGACAACUUAGGACACCUUUGAAUUGAUAAUGAAAAGAACUGAAUGUUUUGCUGAGCAGC